UCCCUGGUGGUCAAGUGAUUAGGACUCAGUUCUUUCAUUGCUAUGGCCCAGGUUUAAUCCCUGGUCUGGGAA
rnacentral:tRNA from 1 species